GUGCUUAACACAUGCAAGUCGAGUGCGCGUCCGUAGCAAUACGGAUGGCGCACGGCGCACGGGUGCGUAACACGUGGGCAAUCUGCCCUCAGAUGGGGGAUAACCCCGCGAAAGCGGGGCUAAUACCGCAUGACAUUCCGGAGACCACGGUCUCUGGACUCAAAGGCCGCAAGGCCGUCAGAGGAGGAGCCCGCGCCCGAUUAGCUAGUUGGUGAGGUAACGGCUCACCAAGGCUUUGAUCGGUAGCCGGUCUGAGAGGAUGGCCGGCCACACUGGAACUGAGACACGGUCCAG
rnacentral:rRNA from 1 species